UAAUUUAAUAAAGUUUUUAUGGAAUUUCAAAUUUCUUGUUGCUAGAAAAUGAUAUUGUUUUGUUGCAAAACUAAGAUGAUGAUCAGACUAACUAAUAGUGAUCCAUAUGAUAAUAUGGUGAUGAUGUUGUUGUGAUAAUUGGUCAUAGAUGAUACUUUGAUAAUAUUAUAGUUAUUUCAGAUGAUGUUUUGAUGAUAUUGUUGUUUAAGAUGUGUUGAUUUGAUACAUAUUUUAACUUUCAAAUUUCAAUGGAACUUAUAAAAUAUUAAAAUAAUUUCUAAUUUAAAAAUAAUAUAUAUAUAUAUAAAGAACAUAAACAAGGGACAAAUAAUGACUUGUCAUAAUUUAAAACCGAAUUCAUAAUACCCACUAAUUUAAAAAUAAUAAUAAUAACCGCCCUAACACUAACCUAAAAUGAUGCUUGAUUCGUGACACAUGUGUGAUAUAUAUAAGUUGUCAUAGGAUCAUGUGAUAGAUAAAACAUUGUCACGGAUUUAUUACAAGGGCUACUAUUGAGUGUUAGAAAAUGUAUAUUUAUAAAAGAGAAAAUCGUCAUUUUACACUUCAAGUUUUACUAACACCCUUAUUUUUAUGUGUUUAAACUUCUUGUCAUUUAAUUAUGUGUGUUGUAUUAUAAUUAAGUAUUUUAUGUAUUUUAGGGGCAUCAUAGUCAUUUCACAAUGAACGAGAGAUCAGAUGGCAAAACGAACAUCACUUUUGAACUCAGGACGGUCGAAAACCUUAGGAUGAGCAUAAAAGGAAAAAUGGCACUGUUCACAUGUACGGUACUAUUCACAUGUACGGUACUGUCUAUGUUACUAUUUACGACACUGUUCACAUAGACGGAUCGAUGACGUGGCAUUAAUUGAUGAGGUGUCACAAUCAUGUUGGACUAAAAUUCUUAUGCACUUUUGAUCGAUGACGUGGCAGCAUAUCAGUGGACCAAAAAUCUCGCGUACGGUACAUGCAUUAUGAUGAGCAUAAGUUAUAUACAUAUUUUACCCUUAAUAAUAUAAUUGCUAGUUACAUUUAUUUGUUAUUUUUAAUUAAUUGAAUUGUUUUAUUGAAUAGGGAAUUAAUUAGAGAUUGUUGAUAAAAAGGGGAUGAAAACACUUCAAAUUGAGAAGGAAUAAAGAUUAAAUUGGAAGACAAAAAUGCAACCAAGAAUUAAUGGAAGUCAAGAAGACCAAAAUUGGAAGUCAAUCUCUUCAAAGGAUGAACGGUGGGCAUGCAUUUGGAAAGCAAAGAUUUGGCAAUUUGGAAUGCAUGUGCUGGGCAUUAAAAGAAGAAAUCAUUAAUUGGCCUUUUGCUUUUGUGGUCAAACGUGUGCUUUGCUUUCAAAGUUUAGUAAGGAAAUAAUUUUAAAAGGCCUUGGUGAGCGGGCUUUAUAAGUCGGUGGAGAAAAAUUAAUGCAAUUAGAAUCCAAUAAGGAUUAAGCAAGUCAGUAACAUUAUAUAAAGGCAAUAAGAGCCGCCAGUGGAGGAGAAUUCGGCUUUGGAAGAGAGCAAUCCGCAGCAGCAAUAUUUCGGCUUCCCAUGGCUGAUUUUAUUUCUUUUGUUGCUCUCAAUUCAAGUAUGUCUAGCUAAUUUUCUUACACUGAGGUUAAGGAUGAAACCCUAUUCAAUAAAAUAAUUAUCUUUUUAUUUAAUUAAUUCCCUAUAUAUGUUCUUUGAUGAUUAUGGUUUUUAUUUCACAUGAUUAAUUAGAUGUUAAUAAAAUCUUUUCAUCAAUUCUGUCAUGCAUUAUUGAUUGUUAGGAUUAAUAUUCGAUUAAUUCUAUGCUUGGAUCUAUAAAGUUUAUACAUGAUUAUCUUUGAUUUUAUGUCUUUCAUUAAAUUGUUUACAUGGAGUGCUUAGGAAACUUUGACCCUUUGUUAUUCAAUAUGUUUACAUGAGAUUCUUAGAUGUCAUAUUAUUAAGUAGAAAAAGAACCUACAUUAGAUUUAAUUACUUGGGCUUAAUUGUUAUAUUCAUGAGAUGACAUAGAUUGAUUUCGAGUUGUCACUCUAAAAUUGGGGAUUAAUUAAUAAUUAGAUAAUUACUAGUUGAAUAGUGGUGGAUUCUUAUCUUAUUGAAUUCUCCUUUAUUUUAAUUGCUUCCUUAGUUUAAUUGGUUUAAUUUUCUUAAAAACUCAAUUUGCUCAACUAGGUUAGAAUUAAUAUUAAUUUUAUAUUUAAAUUAGACUUUUUAAUUUAUAACAAUCCCUGUGGGAUCGACCUCGUUACCACUAUUCUAUUUCUAGAUUUGUGCGCUUGCGAGUAUAUUAAAAUUUUCACAACACAUUACACAGGAUUAUUUUCAACCAAACCGCGUCACUGUUCAAGCCAGGUCAAACCGUGUUAAUGUUCAAACCGUGUGGUCAAACCACAUAUUGUUGACUGAUGAGGUGGCGCAAUCCUGAGCGUCCGAAAUGUUUUUAAUCCGAUGGCCAUGAUUUACUCAAUGUAUCUAUAAAAAGGGGGCUCUCCCCCCUUAAUUUGAUAUCUCUGAAUCCAUUUUUGGACUCCAUUUUCUGUAAUUCCUUCUCCAUCUUCUAAUUUCCACAUAUUUUAAUAAAUUUUCAUUUUGUCCCUAGUUCAAUUAUAAAUAGCUAAUUUUCUUUCAAGCUUGGGUUGUAGGUGAAGUCUCAACAUAUGUCAUGGGCUUUAUUUGGUAAAUUUAUUUUCUCUUCCCCUCUAGUUUUUAUUGAUUUUUUGACUUCUCGUCGACAAAUAAUAAUAAGCUUGUCUAGAUACCGCCCUGGUUUCAUCGGCUCCCUAGGACAAGGUUAUUAUUAUUUGGCACGAUAAGCCCUUAGCACCAUAUUGAUUAGAGUGUGGUUCAUGAGGUGUGGAUUCCCCCCUCAUGAUUUAAUUGGUAUUAAUAAGGAAUAUUUAGCCCAUGGUGCAUGUUGAUACGGAUCCAGAUACCCAAGUACGUCAUUUCAAUAAAUUUCUAUUCAAUUUAUUCUCGCCAUUUAAAAUCCAAUUUUAAGAUAAUCUAAAGUCACUUUCACUACAAAUCCAAACAUCCAUUUAGAAAAAUUAAUUUUACUCACAAUUAAAAUCCACCUCCUCGUGGGAUCGACACUCGUCACCAUUGAUCUAUUCUACAAUAGAUUCGUGCACUUGCGAGUUCAAUAAAAUUUGCACAACAGCUACAAUAACAAAUAGAAUCUCUAUCAUAAAUGAGUUCGGAUGACAGAUAUUCUUUGUCAUGAUAGUCAAUUUUUCUAAUAGUGGUCCUUAAAGAACAAAUUCCACCUCUUCUCAGAUAAUAUCCAGAUACAGAAAGAGAAUUGAAAUCAGCCUGAUAUUCUAGGAUUUAAUGUCGUUUUAUUUGUAAUAGCGUACUCGAAGAUACUGCUGCUGAAGAACAACUUGUAAAACAUAGAAAUAAAUUCAUGUAUUUGUUAUUUUGAUGAGUAAAUAGGAGAGGGAACGAGAAUAUUACUUCGUUGAAUACAGCCACUGGAGCUCUCCUUUUCUAGCCUUGAGAGAUAAAUAAAAUAAAAUUUAUUUUCAUGAAAUGAAAAACUGCAAAUUACGAAUAAAAUAAAAUUUGGCGUAAUUUGCAUCAUUAAAAUAAAUUAGUGACAUCCCAACCAAGUUAAUAUACCCACUAAACUAUAACACUAAAAGCAUUCCUAAAUUUUAAUCUUCGUUGUCAUUGUCAUCAUUAUCACCAACUACGGGUAUUCAAAAAUCGAUCCAAUCCAAUCAAUCCAAUUGAAACUAAUCCAAUUUUUAUUAGAUCGACCUUUUGAUUAGAUUGGAUUGGAUUGGAUUGCAAUAUGGAAAAUUUAAUAUUAUUGGAUUGAUUUAUGGAUCUAUGUGUUCAAAUUCAAUAUAAACAAAUCCAACUAAUUAAUUUUUUUUAUGAAAGCUCAUGUUAGUAAGUCACUUUUAUUUUUAACUUUCUAAAAUAUAAAACCUAAUUUUCCUUAAAAAACUUAAUUUUGUAUAAUUAUAAGUAUAUGAUAAUAAUACAUAGCAAAUUGCAAGCCAUUACCAAUAUUUUCUUUCAAUAUUCAAAAUUUAAAGUAGCCACUUUCUUUUUCGUUUAUAGAGAAUUGAUGCAUACAUAUGAUAACAAACUCCAUAAAUAAUGAAGUAUUAAAGGAGUUGGUUUUUUUUUCUCAAUUGUUAGUGGAACAUUCGAGACCAAAUGAUGAUUUUUAUUUUCAUAGGAUUGACCGGAUUAAUUGGAUUAGAUUGAAUUGGAUUUAAUUUUUUAUUGGUUUGGAUUAUAUUCGAUUUUAAUUAACGAUUGGAUCAGAUUGGAUGCAAAAUAUAAAAUUUAAUAUAUGAUGGAUUGGACUUGGAUUUAACAAAAUCCAUUUGAUUUGAACAAUCGAACACCCCUAUCAUCAACUUCAACAUGAACAUCAUCAUUGUCAUCAUCAUCAACAUUUGAAUCACUGAUAAGUAUAUAAUAUAUACUUAUUUUAUCGUUGAUUAUAUAAUUAUUAUUUGUUAUUUUAAAUUAAUUUAUCUAUUUUGUUGAAUAGCAAUUCAAUUGGAGUUUAUGGAUAAAAAAUGCAUGAAGAAGUUCAAUUUGGGAAGCAAUGAAGAGUAAAUUGGAAAUAAAUUAGAAGACAAAAGAAAAUAAAGCCAAGAAUUAGAAUAACCCAUAGCCAGCAAGCAUGUGAAGACUGAAAUUGGAAGUCAAUUCCAUAAAGUUUUGAGGAGAGCCCAUACUAAGCAAUUAGAAGUGGCGAGAAAGUCAUGAGGGUUAAACGUUUAUGGUGUUGACAAGUAAUGGUGGCAUAAAUUAGGAAAAUUGACUUUAGAAUUGGAAAAGGAUUUAAGAUGUGUUUACUUACUAGAGCGGGAAUGGAAAGUGUAGAGUUCUUCUAUUUCAGUAUUCAUAUGCUUAUUUUAGGAUGGAAAUGGGAAUCAAUUCUGUGAAUUCCACCCACUUUUGGAGUGAGGAGUGGAAUUCCCACUCCUAUAAGACCUACUCCCACUUAUUCUUUUUUUAUCUUUCCCUUUAAAAAUAA
rnacentral:lncRNA from 1 species